rnacentral:rRNA from 1 species
AUGGCCAACGUUGUCCUCAAUUUCAACGCGUUCCUAGAGAAAACCAAGCUGAAAGAUGAUGGUAGCAACUAUACAGACUGGGUCCGGAACCUGAGGCUCAUCCUCAUAGUAGCCAAGAAAGAUUAUGUCUUAGAAGCACCGCUAGGUGAUGCACCAAUCCCACAGAACCAAGACGUUAUGAACGCUUGGCAAUCACGUGCUGAUGAUUACUCCCUCAUUCGGUGCGGCAUGCUUUACAGCUUAGAACCGGGUCUCCAAAAGCGUUUUGAGAAACAUAGAGCAUAUGAGAUGUUCGAGGAGCUGAAACUGGGUUUUCAAGCUCAUGCCCGGGUCGAGAGAUAUGAUGUCUCUGACAAGUUCUUCAGCUGUAAAAUGGAGGAGAACAGUUCUGUUAGUGAGCACAUACUCAGAAUGUCUGGGUUGCACAACCGCUUGUCUCAGCUGGGAGUUAAUCUCCCGGAUGACGCGGUCAUUGACAGAAUCCUCCAGUCGCUUCCAUCAAGCUACAAGAGCUUUGUGAUGAACUACAAUAUGCAGGGGAUGGAGAGGACCAUUCCGGAGGUAUAUUCAAUGCUGAAAUCAGCGGAAGGGGAGAUCAGAAAAGAACAUCAAGUGUUGAUGGUGAAUAAAACCACCAAGUUCAAGAAGGGCAAGGGUAAGAAGAACUUCAAGAAGGACGGCAAGGGAGUUGCCGCGCCCGGUAAACCAGUUGCUGGGAAGAAGUCAAAGAAUGGACCCAAGCCCGGGAAUGAGUGCUUUUAUUGCAAGGGAAGUGGUCACUGGAAGCGGAACUGCCCCAAAUAUUUAGCGGACAAGAAGAAGGCCGGCAACACCCAAGGUAUAUGUGAUAUACAAGUAAUUGAUGUGUACCUUACCAGUACUCGUAGUAGCUCCUGGGUAUUUGAUACCGGUGCGGUUGCUCAUAUUUGUAACUCAAAGCAGGAACUACGGAAUAAACGGAGACUGGCAAAGGACGAGGUGACGAUGCGCGUCGGGAAUGGUUCCAAGAUCGAUGUGAUCGCCGUCGGCACGCUACCUCUGCAUCUACCCACGGGAUUAGUUUUAAACCUCAAUAAUUGUUAUUUAGUGCCAGCUUUG